GUGGCAGAAAGAGGACAAUAGCUGAGAUCCCCAACAUGGUGAAGGAAGUAACUAGAUAGCACUGGCAACUUUGAAUCAAGGAAUAAAGAACAUCCAAAAUAAAGACCACGUGCCCAUGGCUGGUUAGCCAUUUUUUUAGUCAAUCCCACUCACCACCAUCAAUGCUGAUUCUACAUCAGAGAGCAGGAGCCUCCAAAGGCAUUUAAAAUUUUUGUUCGAGAAAGAUCUUCAAGGAAAGAAGCUUGCUAACUCCUAAAAUCCAGAGAAUGAACUGUUUGCCAAAAGAUGCCUGAAAAACCUACACUACAUCAGGAAGAUCCAGAAUUAACUUUGGGGUGCAGUUGAUUGAACUGAAGGU
rnacentral:lncRNA from 1 species